UUACUGAAAAUAGUCGUUAAGUAGUUAAGGGGUGCCGUUAAAUUUUAAUUAAUUAUCUUAGUAAAUGAUAAGUUUAAUUCUUGUUUAUUUUUCUGCUAAUCACAAGCAUUCUAUGAGAGGUAUUCCGUGAGUUUUGUAAAAUUGAUUUUUAGUGUUGUAAUUCUCAGUGUAGAAAAUUAGGUUAUUAAUUAACGUUUAAUUUAGUUAUGUGAAAAGUGCGGGUUAAGAUUGUGCCAGCAGCCGCGGUUAGACUGAUAGCACGGGUAGAAAAAUUUUAGUUAGUAGUUAAAAUGUGGUUUCGUAAAAUUUAAAUUUGAAAGUUGGAGUGGAAAUUAUCUCUUUAUAUCAUUAGUAUUUAAAGAAACUUUUUUUGAAGCUGUGAAGAUCUAGGUGCAAAAUAGGAUUAGAUACCCUAGUAUGCUUGAUUGAAAAUUGUAAUACUUGAUUAGUAAUUAGUUAUGUUCUCGAAAUUUAAAGAAUUUGGCGGCCCUUCAGUCCAGUUAGAGGAACCUGUCCUGUGAACGAUAAACCACGAAUUAUCUUACUUUUUCUUGCUUGUGUCAAUUGGUAUACCGUCAUUAUUAGAUAAUUUAAAAAUAAAUUAAUUUUAAUAGAGUUAUUUUCUAAUAUAUUAGAUCAGGGUGCUGUCGAUGUAAAAGUAGAGAUGGGUUACAAUAAUAUUUAAUUAUAUGGAUGCAAAUUUGAAAUUUUUGUUGAAGGCGGAUUUAAUAGUAGUAAGUUUGUAGUUAGUACUUACGAUAGUGGUUCUGAAGUGUGUACAAAUCGCCCGUCGCUCUCACUAUCAAUGUGAGAUAAGUCGUAACAAGGUAGGUGUGCUGGAAAGUGUACCUAGUAUUAAUA
rnacentral:ncRNA from 1 species